UUUUUAAAACACUUUGGUCAAUAAUCAUAAAAAUCUGAAGAGCUCACGUAUAAUGUUACACUUUUCGUGUGCAAAAAAAAAAUUAUAGUGAAUGAAACUAAUGCAUUUCGUGUUUUAACUUACCUUCCUGAACAGUGUAUGCCAAUUUACGUAAUAAACGUUGGUCUAAUCUAAUUGUGUAAAUAAAGUAUAAAAAUCCUAUUAUGAAAAUUGAAAAGCGGCUUUUCAGCAUGUUCGUGACAAUAUAGAGAAGUUUGACACAAAAGAGGGCGUCAAGGAAACAGAUCUAAUUUUCUUGAAGGAAAUAAUGGACAACUGCGUCUUGAAAAAUUUAGUAAAGAGCCACUUAUGAGAUGUUAUAGGAUGAGCUCCCAGGGAGUGGGUAGGAACUUCUGUCCACCACAACCUAACCUACCGUAUCCGAUCGAAUAACACAAGCUAACAUGACCUAGGUUAGAUGGUUUAUGAUGGGUAAAAAUACUCUUUUCUUUCCAUGUUUCGAACUUUAGUAACAUAUGUACAAUUUCCUACAAAUUUCCCUAUACAACGGGGACAAAUGGCGAUAAAACACAAAGUAGAGUGUAUUAAUAUAAAAUUUGAGACAUACAACACCCAAUAGAAAGUAAUUUUUCAAAACAGCGCGCGAGUAUUUUAGAUUCAACGAGGCGCUUCUUCUUCGCGUUGUAAAAUAACAAUGGAGAAAGGGAUAUUAUUCAAUUGAAUUCACGUCGUGGAAGUUAAAAGUCAAAAGCCGGUCCUGUGGGUGUCUUAUAAAGGCCCCCACCUGUCGCGUUCUUUAAUCCGUGAACUCUAGCGAAGGCUUCUCAACUAUGUCGCGCUUCGCGCUACGUACCUGGUCCGCAACAGUGCUACAUUCGAUGCUCGGCCAGGAAAAUACGUCCUGACAAAAAUAAAGCGCGUCGCUUUUCCCGACAAAAUAUCGAGAAAAAGGAACAAUAAAGUCGCCGAAUUCGCGUGGCUGGCGACUUCUUGUGCGUGCGUUCGAAUCCGGGCGUUUUCCGAGAGAUUCGAUCGAAGCUCCGGUAGGUACUUAGUGGUGACUGACCCUUUUAUCGCAGUAACAAACAGCAGAACAAUCGAGGGUAAUGGAAAAUCUCUGCUGAAGGGUACAGGACAAACUUGAGGAAUUGUCCGAUCCUGUGUCUUUAGGAAACGAAAAUCUUACAGAAGAAAUUGUUUCUCGUUGUAACAAAUCCCUAGUAAAAGAAGCAAAAGAACUUGCAGACCUUCUAUCAAAGCCGCACGUGAAGGCCGUCAUAAGAACACACGAUACUAUUGGUGAAAAAAGACUAAAAUUUAACGAAAAAAUAAACAGCAGUUCGAAUAUAUGCAACAUUAUGACCGGCGAAGCUUUACGAGUAGUCGGGGUGAGGA
rnacentral:misc_RNA from 1 species